GAUGAACGCUGGCGGCGUGCUUAACACAUGCAAGUCGAACGGUGACGGUAGAGCUUGCUCCGCCUGAUCAGUGGCGAACGGGUGAGUAACACGUGGGCAACCUGCCCCAGACUUCGGGAUAACUCCUCGAAAGAGGCGCUAAUACCGGAUACGAACUCCUUGGGCAUCCUUGGAGUUGGAAAGUUUUUCGGUCUGGGAUGGGCCCGCGGCCUAUCAGCUUGUUGGUGAGGUAACGGCUCACCAAGGCGACGACGGGUAGCCGGCCUGAGAGGGCGACCGGCCACACUGGGACUGAGACACGGCCCAGACUCCUACGGGAGGCAGCAGUGGGGAAUAUUGCGCAAUGGGCGAAAGCCUGACGCAGCAACGCCGCGUGAGGGAUGACGGCCUUCGGGUUGUAAACCUCUUUCAGCAGGGAAGAAGCGAAAGUGACGGUACCUGCAGAAGAAGCACCGGCUAACUCUGUGCCAGCAGCCGCGGUAA
rnacentral:rRNA from 1 species